AACCAACAAGAGAUCACCUGGAGAUUGGAGACUGAAGAAGCUGGUGGUGUAUUUCAAAAGCCUGAGAGGCAGAGGUGAAUGGUGUAGAUUUCAGUUUUAGUUUGAAGGCCUGAAAACCGGGAAUGCUAACGGCAGAAGAAGGAAUGUUCCAGCUCAAGCAGUCAAGCAGAAGAAAGAACUUCAAAUCUACAAAGGAAGAAAUAGAGUGAGACAAGAUGAGAAGCAGCAAGAAAUUCCACUGAUUUUAUAUCUCUUUGCUCUGAUUUCUGUGACAUGGCUUUGGGGAGGACUACACAUGGCCUACAGACACUUCUGGAUGUUGGUUCUCUUUGUCAUUUUCAACAGUCUGCAGGGACUUUAUGUUUUCGUGGUUUAUUUCAUUUUACACAACCAAAUGUGUUGCCCUAUGAAGGCCAGUUACACUGUGGAAAUGAAUGGGCAUCCUGGACCCAGCACAGCCUUUUUCACGCCCGGGAGUGGAAUGCCUACUGCUGGAGGGGAAAUCAGCAAGUCCACCCAGAAUCUCAUCAGUGCUGUGGAGGAGGUGCCACCUGACUGGGAGAGAGCAUCCUUUCAACAGGCCAGUCAGGCCAGCCCUGAUUUAAAGCCAAGUCCACAAAAUGGAGCCAUGUUCCCGUCCUCUGGAGGAUAUGGCCAGGGGUCACUGAUAGCCGAUGAGGAGUCCCAGGAGUUUGAUGAUUUAAUAUUUGCAUUAAAAACUGGUGCUGGUCUCAGUGUCAGUGAUAAUGAAUCUGGUCAAGGCAGCCAGGAGGGGGGCACCUUGACUGACUCCCAGAUCGUGGAGCUCAGGAGGAUACCCAUCGCCGACACUCACCUCUAGCACCUCACUAACCAUUCGACUUAGCACACUUUCAUGUUUGUAUCAGCUUUUGUGCUAAAACUCUCUAAGUACGUCCACCUGUGUAAUAGGAACCUGUGAAUUGUACUGGAUGAUUAACACAAACGUGAUUGUUGUAUUUGGAGUAUAAAUUACUGAUUGUAUGUGACCUGAAAAUUCACUGCUAUAAGAAAGAUGGAGUCAGUUUGUAUCAGUUAAUAGGAUGUUCAUAUUCCAAGAAUAUUAGUUGUUUUUUUAAUCAUCCUAUAUGGCUAACAUUGUUUAAUGAAAGUAAUAAUCAAUAAAGCAAUAGAAUCUAUUCGGUAUGA
rnacentral:sRNA from 1 species